UAAAUUCACUCAAAAUCCAAAAAAUAAAACCCAAUUGAAGGUGAAUCAAGGCUGAAUUUGUGAUCCUCAUACUUAGUAGGUCACAAGGGUAUAUGGGUUUUUGUGAUUUGGGUGGAUCAUCAAGUGGACAAGGCGGGUCGGAUAACCGCUUAAAAGGAAAGCUUUGAAAAGGUGAUGGUAGCGAAUUGCGGAUGAUGAUCAAGUACCCGAAAGGAUCGAACAC
rnacentral:lncRNA from 1 species